rnacentral:lncRNA from 1 species
AUCUGAAGUGUGAAUAGGAUUGGUGAAAGAGUGAAAGAGUGUUGUGUGCUUUUGCUGAGUUUAGGAUGGUGUCAAUUGUGCCUCAGGAGAAGAGUUUAGACAUUCUGUCCUGAUGAAUGUAAUCAAGUCUUUAUUUCAUGGUUUCUCUUAACGCAAAUACGUACAGGUUCAUAUUCGUCGAUGAGGGUGAGAGGAAAACUAUCGCCAACAGAAAGAAUCCAGAUAGGAAGAGAGAAAAAGAAAGACCAGAGAUGGAUUUUGUGUCCUUUUUAAAACAGCCUCAAUCACCUGAUUCCUCCCUGCCACUUCUCUGCAAAUGAUAGAGUUCACACAUCUAUAAUUCUCUCAUAGGUUCAUGUGGGCUGCUCCUCAUAACCCUGCUCAAACACUACUGAGGCAUCAGGAUCUUCAAGAUUCAUUUUCUCUUGCCACCACCAUAUAAGAAGUGCCUUUCACCUCCUGCCAUGAUUCUGAGGCUUCCCCAGCCAUGUAAAACUCUCUCUUUGGUGACUUCCUGAAGCUUGAAGUAUCUUCCUUGGGAGACGUAUUAUAGAAUUUGAAAUCCCACUGGCCAGAUCUCAGCAUGUAGUUUCAUCCCAACUCUACAGAAGUCUGGAAAAUACAGAGAGAACAUGCUCUUUCCCUAGGAAGAAGAGAUGAGAGCUCCAUCUCUCUGCUGGUGGAAGGAGAGGUUGUCUUUCCCUUCCCAUAGGGCAAGAAGAGCUGCCUCCACAUCCUCCUUCUGCUGUAGCUGAAGAGCCUGUUUAAAGGAACAUCCUGAUGGGGCUCAGCCUUUUGACCCCCAGAAAACAUGGCUUUGUCUGCCAUCCUGCAGCUCAUCAUGGGAGCCUGCAAAGUGGUUGGGGGCAGCACACACCAGCAUGCUGUGAAGAGAGGAAAGAGCUGCCGGGAUAACAACCCCGCAGCCACCAUAAUGACUCAGAUUAGAACACAAGGGAACACCAGCCAUUUUUUAGUCUGUCAGUUUUUCUAUUAUCCUCAAGACUGAGCAUGAAACAUUCAUUAUAACACGUCCUUAUUGAUUCAACUGAUGGAAAUAUAUUGGUAUUAAUAACACGAAACUCUAAGGCACUGAGGAUAAUAAAAUGAUUGCGAACAUAA